UUUCGAGACUUCUUCAACCGCAUACGGCCGUGCUCUCUUUGUUUCGCCUUAUACGCACUCAUAUUCCUGAAUCUAAUCAGAUCCUGUGAGUUUACUUUGUUUUCCUUCUUUUUUUUUUUUCAUUUACCUCUGGCCUUGUUUGUUUGGUGAGAAAACGGAGGGAAAAUGCUGGAAAGCCAGCUAUAUAACUGUGUCUACAUCUUGUAUUAACGAUAUGAUCUUUGUUCAUAAUGUGAGAGCCUCUGUUCAGCGAAAAUGAACUUCAAAUUAUAUUUUUUUCGCGUCUUUUUUCCUAUAUUAACUCUUCUUCGCUGCCAACCGGAAGGAUUAAUGGUUUUUUCCGUUUUAGGAAUUCGUAUUGUACUUUUCCUCUAGGGUUAGCUUGUUAUUAAACAACGCCUGCAAAAAGUAAAGUAAAUAAAAUAGGAUUUAUGGACUGUUCCAAUAAUCUGUUUUAUUGGUGUGGUUUGACCUGCAAAAAGUAAAGUAAAUAAAAUAGGAUUUAUGGACUGUUCCAAUAAUCUGUUUUAUUGGUGUGGUUUGUGGAUCAAUAGUCUUUCCCUUUCUUUGACCAUGAAAAUGAUAAAGUUAAUUGUUUGUUAUUGUUAUUAUUGCACACAACCUGUAGGUUAUGUGUAUUUUUCCUGUUUCUUUAGUGUAAAAAAUCAUACUGACGGAUUUUGUCUGAUGAAAGAUACAGAAAAUAACUUGUUGGUGUCAUCUUCCUAAAUUGUGGACCGCAUAGUUUAAUCACGUUUGCUUGCAUUAACACUUUUUGAUAUUGCUCUGUUCUGACAGG
rnacentral:lncRNA from 1 species